CGGCAUCUUCCAACGUGCUUCGCUCGUGCCAGCAGUCAUCGAGCAGAGAAAAACGCUGCUAAAGCCGCAGCAAGCCGGUGAGAAAACGGCCAGCAGACAAAUUCUGCUCACGACGCUCGCGGCACAAGGAGAACGGAAAAAGCCACUUGAAAAGGGAACCAACCAGCAGACAAUUUCGGCUCGAAACGCUCGCGGCACUCGAAGGCGGAGCUAACCUGUACGGAAAACACGGAAAAGGC